rnacentral:lncRNA from 1 species
ACCAUAGGUGCUUUAAGAUUCGUGCUCGAAACUUUUCUGACGUGAUUGCCAGAGACCGACUUGGAUGCAGCAGUCGGUGGCACCGAAAAGAAUGGCGAGCAGCCCCAAGCACCGCCCGAGAGCCUCGCGUGGUGGGGGGAGAGGGAUUGGCCAGCUUCGGGAUGGAAACAAGCAGUGCAAGGGUACACAGUUUGGGUGUCGUCUGAACCUUUGCCGGA